rnacentral:lncRNA from 1 species
AGACACAUGGAGCCCAGACACCUGCAAUAACCAAGGAACUUCUGAGUCCUGGGGCUGAUGCUUGCCCGUUCUGCUGAGGAUGGCACCACGCCCCAGUUUCCCACUAGGAAGAAGACUGACCCGAGACACUCCUGGACAGUGAUCCUGAUGUCUCUUCUGUGCAGAGCAUUCAACUGUAAGAUAACACAAGCUGGAGCUAGCCUCUCACCGAGGAUGGAGCAAGAAGGCGGAGUGCUAAAGGAAGGCUUCCUUGUGAAAAGGGUGAGUGAAUGUCCACCUACAGGCUAACUAUCCCUGGGGUUUUGUUUUUUUCCUUCCAGGGAGGACUUUUCCCUAGAGGGACAGAAAUUGUCUUAUAGGUGGAGGGCUAGACCUGGUUCCCGGCCUUCCCUGCCUCCCCUGCCCAGCCCCUGAGAUCCCUUUUUAUAUCCUUUUACAGAAUGUUGGGCUGUGCUUCAGCCCUGGAGUUCCACCCCCUCAUCCUCAACACCGCCCCCCCACCUCCCCAAUCUUUUAAGUCUCCCAGUGCCCCUCUCUCUGGUCCUGACCUGCACCCUCCUACCUUGAUUAGAAGGCAGACAUGCCAUGUGACAAGCAUUCUUCCAAUUUACUGAAUUCAAAAGAGCAACCUAACUGGGCCCUUCCCUGAAGUAUUUUGGGAGGCUAAAGGUGUGGUCUGUGAAAAAUUAAGAGGGAGAAACAUUUCCAGUUGUGGCCUGUGGCUUGUGGGGAGGGUGGAGGUGGGUAGGAAACAACCCAACUUGUCCAGAAGGAAGAGGACAACUCUCUGCAAGAGAGACACAGAUGAUGUCAGUGUUAAGAGUGAAGGAAACCAAAUAUCCACUAUAGUAAAAUUUUAUAUUAAUGUUACUAAUAACUGACAUUUAUAAAAGGCUUUAAGGUUUGCAAAGAGCUUUACGUAUAUCAUCUCACUGGAGUCCAACAACCCCAUGAGCAAAUGAGGAAACUGAAGGCCAGAGAGGCCAGACUUGCCUUUGGACAAG